rnacentral:tRNA from 1 species
GCAGUCGUGGCCGAGUGGUUAAGGCGAUGAACUAAAAAUCCAUUGGUCUCUCCCCGUUCAGGCUCGAAUCCUAUCGACUGUG